rnacentral:rRNA from 1 species
UACGUAGGUGGCGAGCGUUGUCCGGAUUUACUGGGCGUAAAGGGAGCGUAGGCGGAUUUUUAAGUGAGAUGUGAAAUACCCGGGCUCAACUUGGGUGCUGCAUUUCAAACUGGAAGUCUAGAGUGCAGGAGAGGAGAGUGGAAUUCCUAGUGUAGCGGUGAAAUGCGUAGAGAUUAGGAAGAACACCAGUGGCGAAGGCGACUCUCUGGACUGUAACUGACGCUGAGGCUCGAAAGCGUGGGGAGCAAAC